CACCGCGGUUAUACGAGAGACCCUAGUUGAUAUAUACGGCGUAAAGAGUGGUUUGGGGCACACCCAAAAUAAAGCCGAAGAUUUCCCAAGCCGUCACACGCACCCCGGAAACACGAAGCCCUAAUACGAAGGUAGCUUUACAAACCCCCCCGACGCCACGAAAGCUAAGAAA
rnacentral:rRNA from 1 species